rnacentral:lncRNA from 1 species
AUCUUCUCCUGCCUCUGUUGCUAUUUGCCGUGUGGUCUUGGGCAAGUUACAUAGCCUCUCUGGGCCUAAAUUUGGCUCUUGUAAAAAGACCCAGUCCCCCAGUCCCCCUGUCUUCCCUCACUCUUGUGCGAUCUUGGCCAUUUUGGCCACUUGCCCUUACCAACUGUAAUUUUAUUUACUAUUUGCCUUCCAAUUAACUCACUUAUUAAUUUAAUUUGAUUUAGAAAGGAGUUUUAUAUCACACUGUAAGUGGAAAAUUAGACUUGCCAG